GCACUUGUGGCGAAACUGGCAGACGCGCUAGACUUAGGAUCUAGUGCCGAAAGGCGUGGGGGUUCAAGUCCCUUCAAGUGCACCA
rnacentral:tRNA from 1 species